UCCGUAGGUGAACCUGCGGAAGGAUCAUUAACGAGUCUUGACUUGGGUUGAAGCUGGUUUCUUACAAGUGCUCGCCCUGGUUCAAAUCCACUCUACACCUGUGCACUUACUGUGGAUUCUGGGGUCAAAUGGCCUUGGGACCUGCGUUUUAUCACAAACUCUUGUAAAAAAAAGUAUCGGAAUGCACCAUUGCGAUUAAUAAACGCAUCUAUAUACAACUUUCAGCAACGGAUCUCUUGGCUCUCGCAUCGAUGAAGAACGCAGCGAAAUGCGAUAAGUAAUGUGAAUUGCAGAAUUCAGUGAAUCAUCGAAUCUUUGAACGCACCUUGCGCUCCUUGGUUAUUCCAAGGAGCACGCCUGUUUGAGUGUUGUGUAACUCUCAACCUGCAAAUUUUUUGCAGGCUUGGACUUUGGAGGCUUGUCGGCGCAAGUUGGCUCCUCUCAAAUGCAUUAGCUUGGCUCCUUGUGGAUCGGCCUUUGGUGUGAUAAUUGUCUAUGCCACGACCGUGAAGCAUGAUGGAAAUGAGCUUCUAGUUUGUCUCAUUAGGGACGUUACUUUGACAUCUAACCUCAAAUCAGGUGGGACUGCCCGCUGAACUUAAGCAUAUCAAUAAGCGGAGGA
rnacentral:rRNA from 1 species